GGUGCUUACCUGCUGAACCUCAGCCCUAACUACAAUCCCCUUCCUAGAAGGAGAGGCUCCUUCUUUACCACCAGGGCAGAGGGCCUGGAGCUAAAUUUAGCCCUGAAGAGAACACAGCCCGCUGAGAUGUGUUCGAGCCUCACGCAGCAAUGGGACUUGGAUACGCCUGAAACCCUGGCGCUGGGAUGGCCCCGGCUCGGCGCGGAUGCAGCAUGAAGGCCGUCGGAGAGCAAGCGUUGGAAGCCUCCUGAGAUCUGGAACCACAGCCUAGCCCCUGAGGAGAGGCGAUGCGGGAUAUCUCCAGCGGAAAAGACGGGGAGCCCAGUAGACAGGGCGAGAGAGCUCCGCUUUUCAGAGGGUUGGUGAGACUCCUUCCUGGCCUCAGAAGGGACCUGGCUUGGAGACCACCACCAAGGGCCUUCCAGCUCUAACCACACGCUCCAUGAAAAGCCUGCCAUGUGACAACAGUAUGCAAGAUGUUAGUUCCCUGACCAAGCAUCAAACCCGUGCCCCCUGCAGUGGAAGUCUGGAGUCUUAACCACUGGACCAACAGGGAAGCUCCCGUGCAGAUUCUUAAAACAUUUCUGGAGAAUGCAAAAGGAC
ensembl:lncRNA